rnacentral:tRNA from 1 species
GGUCGCGUGGCCAAAUGGCAAGGCGUCUGGCUACGAACCAGAAGAUGUGGGUUCGAUCCCCACCGUGACCU